GUUUGUAGUUAGCUAAAAACUUUUUCAAACUAAAAACUUUUUAUUUAUUUAUAUAUUUCUUUAGCAAUGGGACAUCCUAAUAUUUUAAGAAAUCAAUUUUGUGAACAGGGCACUGUUUGCACCGUCCGCUUUAAUUGUAUGUUUUGUAAACUAAUUAUGUUGUAAUGCUCUUUGUUUUUGUUGCUAAACCCUUUUAUUUUAUUUUUAGUUGAUGGAAACUAUUGCAUAACCGAUGGAUCUGUUAAAUCAUUUAUGGAUUCUUCGUAAAUCAUCGAUCCUGAAGACUUAUAUGGGACUUGGAUGUAAAGUCUUAGAAGUUUAAUCUUCAGCUAAUAGAUCACAUACAGCAAAGGACAAAAGCAUUUUUUAUUGGGAUGUUAGUACUGCUGAAAUAGUAAGAAACUUUAAAGGUCAUGCUGUUUAGGUUAUGAUGAUGCUACAAAGUUCAAUGAAGAAUCUAGUUUUACUAUCUGUUUCAGUUGAUAAUACUGUUUUUGCUUGGGAUUGUCGUAGCAAGUCUUGCGAGCCUAUUCAGUUUUGUCAGCGAAA